rnacentral:rRNA from 1 species
UACCCGCCUGGAAUUAAGCAUAUCAAUAAGCGGAGGAAAAGAAACCAACAGGGAUUCCCUUAGUAACGGCGAGCGAAAAGGGAUGAGCCCAGCAUGUAAAUCUCCGGUUUCCGGCGAAUUGUAGUCUGGAGUAGCAACUCCUGGUGCCGUGCCGGCCCAAGCAUCUUGGAAUAGAUCGCCUCAGAGGGUGAGAGCCCCGUAGGUCGGUGCGAGCUCCUACACGGAGUGCUCACGCAGAGUCGGGUUGUUUGGGAAUGCAGCCCCAAUUGGGUGGUAAACCCCAUCUAAGGCUAAAUACCUGUGGGAGACCGAUAGCAAAAAAGUACCUCGAGGGAACGAUGAAAAGACCGCUGGCAAGCGAGUGAAAGAGUGCAUGAAAUUGUAUAGUGGGAAGGGAUGGCCUGGCGUAUUGCCCGCGGGUAUACACUGCUCCUUGAGCUCUUGAAUACACCGUGGGCUGGCUGGUGCCGACACCUGCGCUUGCAAAUCCCCAAACUAAGGUGUUUGGCUCUUCAAGCGCGGGUGUUGAGGUUGAUCGUCGCUCUGUUUUAAACUGCGUCGACAAAGCACCAGCUGAAGCCUGUCCAUCUACCCGUC